rnacentral:rRNA from 1 species
UCUGGAAACUGUCUGACUNGAGUGCAGAAGGGGAGAGUGGAAUUCCAUGUGUAGCGGUGAAAUGCGUAGAUAUAUGGAGGAACACCAGUGGCGAAAGCGGCUCUCUGGUCUGUCACUGACGCUGAGGCUCGAAAGCGUGGGUAGCGAACAGGAUUAGAUACCCUGGUAGUCCACGCCGUAAACGAUGAGUGCUAGGUGUUGGGCCCUUUCCGGGGCUUAGUGCCGGAGCUAACGCAAUAAGCACUCCGCCUGGGGAGUACGACCGCAAGGUUGAAACUCAAAGGAAUUGACGGGGGCCCGCACAAGCGGUGGAGCAUGUGGUUUAAUUCGAAGCAACGCGAAGAACCUUACCAGGUCUUGACAUCCCGAUGCUAUUCUUAGAGAUAGGAAGUUACUUCGGUACAUCGGAGACAGGUGGUGCAUGGUUGUCGUCAGCUCGUGUCGUGAGAUGUUGGGUUAAGUCCCGCAACGAGCGCAACCCUUAUUGUUAGUUGCCAUCAUUAAGUUGGGCACUCUAGCGAGACUGCCGGUAAUAAACCGGAGGAAGGUGGGGAUGACGUCAAAUCAUCAUGCCCCUUAUGACCUGGGCUACACACGUGCCACAAUGGUCGGUACAACGAGUUGCGAGCCGGUGACGGCAAGCUAAUCUCUGAAAGCCGAUCUCAGUUCGGAUUGGAGGCUGCAACUCGCCUCCAUGAAGUCGGAAUCGCUAGUAAUCGCGGAUCAGCACGCCGCGGUGAAUACGUUCCCGGGCCUUGUACACACCGCCCGUCACACCACGAGAGUUUGUAACACCCGAAGUCGGUGAGGUAACCUUUUAGGGGCCANCCG